rfam:Dipodomys ordii contig_33394, whole genome shotgun sequence.
GGGAAUGUGGCUUAGUGGUAGAGUGCUUGCUUAGCACGCAUGAAGCCCUGGGUUCGAUUCUUCAGUACCCCUA